rnacentral:lncRNA from 1 species
AAUUCCUGAGAGCAAAUUCCCCACUACGCCUAUGGCGCAGCAGCCCAGGAGUUUCUUUCUUUUGCAUCAAACCAGAACUCUGCUGGGAUAUUGAUGUUUUUCCCAGGAUGUCCCUCUAAUGUGGGGGGAGAAAAGAACUGUAAAGAUCUAGUCUGAAGCCCGUGAGCCUGCACGGCCCAGUGGAAGGGAGGAAGGAGCCUGUGACAAACGUUUAUUACGGAGUAUGAAAAUCAGGAAGCUUUUUGUUCACUUCAUACAUCUCCUCCAACAAAGCCAGGCAUCAGCACCCCGGCACAGACUCCGGAGUGAUUAUUGUUACACAUGAUCUAUGGAGCAGAUAAAUUACAGCUUGAUUUUUAUAAGAGGCGCCGGAGCCCCGGAAAGCGGUGGGGUAGAGCUGUGAAUCCUAGCAACAGGAGGAGAGAGAGAACUGUACGUUUCUUCACGUCCUCCAAGUGCUGGUGCCUUCUGGUACAUCAUUUACAGGGAGCAACAGAGACCUUGGAAAGGCCCUUCAUGCCGUUACAUCAAGAAAGGGACAGUUUUCCCAGCGGGACAGGAGAAAACCCCCGCGGAACCAGCCAGCACAUGUUUCGUGGCAGGAUCAGGGCCUCAGACACCACAAACUCUUCCUUUUUGGGCUGAAGAUCCUGAGAAGCUGCGGAAAAUUUGGGCAGAAG